rnacentral:lncRNA from 1 species
UAAACCGCCUAACAAAAAUUGGCCUCCAAAUAUUUGAUCAGGCAAGAAACCCAAAUACAUAGAACAGGACAUCACGAUAACAUUCACGCUGCGCAUCACAAGUCGAACCCAAUGCAUCAUUCAUGUUCCACAUCGACAGUGUUACUCGACACAACAGAAAGGAAAUUCACCCGACGGUGUGUUCUUCCGUUUACAAUCCGAACGGCAAGGAGCAGUGAGUUGCAAAACACUGCGCCACCCCUUGUUCCCACUGAUUUCCGAGCUCUCCAUGGUACCCAACU